CCUACGGGUGGCUGCAGUGAGGAAUAUUGGUCAAUGGACGAAAGGCUGAACCAGCCAAGUCGCGUGAGGGAUGACUGCCCUAUGGGUUGUAAACCUCUUUUAUAAGGGAAUAAUAAAUAGUACGUAUACCAUUAUGUCUGUACCUUAUGAAUAAGCAUCGGCUAACUCCGUGCCAGCAGCCGCGGUAAUACGGAGGAUGCGAGCGUUAUCCGGAUUUAUUGGGUUUAAAGGGAGCGUAGGCGGCGGUUUAAGUUAGUGGUGAAAGGUUGGGGCUUAACCUUGAAUUGCCAUUGAUACUGUAAGUCUUGAGUUCAGACGAGGUAGGCGGAAUAAGUGGAGUAGCGGUGAAAUGCUUAGAUAUAACGUAGAACUCCGAUAGCGAAGGCAGCUUACCGGACUGCGACUGACGCUGAUGCACGAGAGUGUGGGUAGCGAACAGGAUUAGAUACCCUAGUAGUC
rnacentral:rRNA from 1 species